rnacentral:rRNA from 1 species
GACGAACGCUGGCGGCGUGCCUAAUACAUGCAAGUCGAGCGAGACUCUUCGGAGUCUAGCGGCGGACGGGUGAGUAACACGUGGGCAACCUGCCUGUAAGACUGGGAUAACACCGGGAAACCGGUGCUAAUACCGGAUAAUCCUUUUUCUCUCAUGAGGAAAAGCUGAAAGUCGGUUUCGGCUGACACUUACAGAUGGGCCCGCGGCGCAUUAGCUAGUUGGUGAGGUAACGGCUCACCAAGGCGACGAUGCGUAGCCGACCUGAGAGGGUGAUCGGACACACGUGGAAUGAGACACGGCCCAGACUCCUACGGGAGGCAGCAGUAGGGAAUCUUCCACAAUGGACGAAAGUCUGAUGGAGCAACGCCGCGUGAGCGAUGAAGGCCUUCGGGUCGUAAAGCUCUGUUGUUAGGGAAGAACAAGUACCGGAGUAACUGCCGGUACCUUGACGGUACCUAACCAGAAAGCCACGGCUAACUACGUGCCAGCCGCCGCAGUAAUAC